rnacentral:rRNA from 1 species
UACGGAGGGGGCGAGCGUUAUUCGGAAUUAUUGGGCGUAAAGGGCGCGUAGGCGGCUUUAUAAGUCAAAGGUGAAAUCCCUCGGCUCAACUGAGGAACUGCCUUUGAAACUGUAAAGCUUGAGGCCGGGAGGGGGUAGCGGAAUUCCCAGUGUAGCGGUGAAAUGCGUAGAUACUGGGAGGAACACCAGUGGCGAAGGCGGCUACCUGGACCGGUUCUGACGCUGAGGCGCGAAAGCGUGGGUAGCAAACAGG